AUGAGGAAGGGUAAGGGCGUGGCGGGGCACAGUCUUUGUCUUCCUUGCGUGUUGCUGGUGCGGCCGGUGGGGAGGCCGUCGAGCCGAGGUCCGCCCGUCGCCGUUGGCCCUCGCGCCCUUCACUUUGUCCCAGAGCCACCGUGUCUGCGGAGAUGCUCGCCGCUGUGGGCGAGGGUGGUGCCAGACGCAGGGAAAGGCCAGGGGACACGCACAACGAGACAGCAUCUGAACUUGGCAAAGUACGAAAGCUCCCCGCUUGCGAACUCUCUGGACCCCAGACUAGAGAACGCGAUGUCCCGAGCUGAGUCUCUGUGCCUAGAAUUGGGGGGCAGGGGGCGCACGGGCCUCGAAGGGCUACCAAGCUCCCGGCAGACCCGCCUCAGCCUGGGGCGCCCGCAACAGCGCCUCGGUCCCCCUGAGGCCGAGCAGAGGCUUCUUCACGCUCCUCCUGGUCCUUGGAGGAUCCGUUCAGCGCUCCAGGCGAGGGUGCGCCAGAAAGAGCAGCCUGGACGUUCCAAACCCUUCGAAGCAUCGCAGCGCUGUCAAGGCACCAACAGGUACGGACAGCAGACACUUCAAUUUUUUAAUGUUUUCUUAAAUGCUCACAAAUCUUUCCCGAAAUGCUCCCCGUAGUCCUGUUUGAAGCUCGGAUUAACGCAGGGACAGCUGAGCAGAAGCCACCCUUUACCUCUCAAGCGAGGGAAUGAGCAUAGUCUGGGCCCCGUCUAACCAGUCUGUCUGUCGGUCAACAGGUAAACCUCAGGCCAGAGAAGCCACAGGGGUUUCCAGCCACAGCGGCCAAGCUGAGCUCCAGCGUUUCAAGCAACCCCUUCAAGAAAGAGCCGACUUGGGGGUCCCCAUGCCGCUCACUCAGAGAACCAGGUAGGGGAUCGGGGUCCCUGCUCUUGGGAAGAAUUUUGAUCAAAUUCAUCAACCCCUGAAAGAGUUGAGAAAUAUUUUACCACAUUGGAAAAACAACUGAGGCCAGCAGAGGCAAAGAGGUGGGCCGGUCGGCUCCCACAGGCCUGUGGUCCGAGCCUGGGCCUCUUCCUGCCCAGGGCAGCACGACAGGAUCCGUUCCCUGUUCCUGCUCCUUCUCUUCAGCCCCUCUCGUCAAUUCCUUCUCCCAGCUGCGUGGGCAUUUGAUACCAGGUCCCCGAAGGGUGAGCCCUUGCACAGAGACCUCUCCGCCGUCCGCACCCCCGGACGAGGGCACGAUUUCAGAACACCUGCUCUCCUUGCCGUCACUUCUCCACGUGACUCCCAGCCCACGAGCCACCUCUGCAAAGGACCGAGGCCAGCAAACCUCUUCCUGAUGUACAACCAGUGGGACUCAGCUGCCUCCUGGACCGAUUCACUUCUCACAAAAUCAUCCUGACAGCCUCGCUUGCUGACCUCGGGGAACCCAGACUGAACCCGUUGCCUUGCCUUUGGGACCAGGAUGGGCGUUGUUUAAAGAUGGGCCCUGUAUCUCACUCCAGAUCAGAAUGUUUUCCUUUUAUAGCAUUUUAACAGCUUUUCCCAGAAAACAUCAGCCUUACACUGUGUCACGCUGUAUUUAAUUGCACAAUAUGCUCGGCUCCUUUAAAAGAAUGUUGGAAAGAUUAAGUUUUAAAAUGAUAAGCCUGGGAAA
rnacentral:lncRNA from 1 species